AAUAAACGCUGGCGGCGUGCCUAACACAUGCAAGUCGAACGAGAAAAGCUUUCGGGCUUAGUAAAGUGGCGAACGGGUGAGUAACGCGUGAAUGAUCUACCCUUUAGUGGAGAAUAUCCUCGAGAAAUUGGGGUUAAUACUGCAUAAGUUCCUUCGGGAAGAAAGAUGGCCUCUUUGCUGUCGCUAAAGGAUGAGUUUGCGCACUAUUAGCUAGUUGGUGGGGUAAAGGCCUACCAAGGCAAGGAUGGUUAGCCGGCCUGAGAGGGUGAACGGCCACAUUGGAACUUAGAUACGGUCCAGACUCCUACGGGAGGCAGCAGUGAGGAAUAUUGCGCAAUGGGCGAAAGCCUGACGCAGCGACGCCGCGUGGGGGAUGACGGCCUUCGGGUUGUAAACUCCUUUCGCUAUCGACGAAGCCACCUUGGGUGGUGACGGUAGGUAGAUAAGAAGCACCGGCUAACUACGUGCCAGCCGCCGCCGUAA
rnacentral:rRNA from 1 species